UUGACAUUUUUCUAAGCUCAUGCUUAGAGCUGACAGUCAACAUUUCUCAAGGAAACAGCUCCAAGAAUUGAAGGAUGAUGAAGUGGCCAUGGAUUGAACUUGUGGUCAUUUGGCUUCAACUAGGCUGGGUGAGCAGUGACGACAAGGUGGUACAGAGUCCCCCAUCUCUAGUUGUCCACGAGGGACACAGCGCAACUCUCACCUGCAGCUACGAAGUGAAGAACUUUCAAAGUCUACAGUGGUACAAGCAGGAUAAGAACGUCCCCACAUUUCUGCUUCUCCUAAUUUCAAGUGGAGCAGAAAAGAAAUCAGGGAGGCUAACGGGAGUAUUAAACAAGACAGAACUUGUCAGCACCCUGCACAUUGCAGCCACCCAGUCUGGAGACUCAGCCAUGUACUUCUGCGCGGUAGAGGCACAGUGUUCUCUCCACACCUGCAGCCUGUAUUCAAAUGCUUCUGGUGGCUCUACAGCUGUCAGAUGAGGGGUCUGCUGCCACCUUCCAAAG